UACCACCCUUUAAUGUUUGAUGUUCUAACGUUGACCCGUAAUCCGGGUUGCGGACAGUGUCUGGUGGGUAGUUUGACUGGGGCGGUCUCCUCCUAAAGAGUAACGGAGGAGCACGAAGGUUGGCUAAUCCUGGUCGGACAUCAGGAGGUUAGUGCAAUGGCAUAAGCCAGCUUGACUGCGAGCGUGACGGCGCGAGCAGGUGCGAAAGCAGGUCAUAGUGAUCCGGUGGUUCUGAAUGGAAGGGCCAUCGCUCAACGGAUAAAAGGUACUCCGGGGAUAACAGGCUGAUACCGCCCAAGAGUUCAUAUCGACGGCGGUGUUUGGCACCUCGAUGUCGGCUCAUCACAUCCUGGGGCUGAAGUAGGUCCCAAGGGUAUGGCUGUUCGCCAUUUAAAGUGGUACGCGAGCUGGGUUUAGAACGUCGUGAGACAGUUCGGUCCCUAUCUGCCGUGGGCGCUGGAGAACUGAGGGGGGCUGCUCCUAGUACGAGAGGACCGGAGUGGACGCAUCACUGGUGUUCGGGUUGUCAUGCCAAUGGCACUGCCCGGUAGCUAAAUGCGGAAGAGAUAAGUGCUGAAAGCAUCUAAGCACGAAACUUGCCCCGAGAUGAGUUCUCCCUGACUCCUUGAGAGUCCUGAAGGAACGUUGAAGACGACGACGUUGAUAGGCCGGGUGUGUAAGCGCAGCGAUGCGUUGAGCUAACCGGUACUAAUGAACCGUGAGG
rnacentral:rRNA from 1 species